UACGAAGGGGGCGAGCGUUGUUCGGAUUUACUGGGCGUAAAGGGCGCGCAGGCGGCUCAUUUUGUCAGGCGUGAAAGCCCCGGGCUUAACCUGGGAACUGCGUUUGAUACUGGAUGGCUUGAGUUCGGGAGAGGGAUGCGGAAUUCCAGGUGUAGCGGUGAAAUGCGUAGAUAUCUGGAGGAACACCGGUGGCGAAGGCGGCAUCCUGGACCGACACUGACGCUGAGGAGCGAAAGCCAGGGGAGCAAACGGG
rnacentral:rRNA from 1 species